rnacentral:rRNA from 1 species
GACGGGAUUGGGGAGCUUGCUCCCCAUGAGAGUGGCGCACGGGUGCGUAACACGUAUGUAACCUACCUUGUUCAGGGGGAUAGCCUCUCGAAAGAGAGAUUAAGACCGCAUAACAUCAAGAUACGGCAUCGUAAUUUGAUCAAAUAUUUAUAGGAACAAGAUGGGCAUGCGGAACAUUAGCUAGUUGGUGAGGUAACGGCUCACCAAGGCUACGAUGUUUAGGGGAUCUGAGAGGAUGACCCCCCACACUGGUACUGAGACACGGACCAGACUCCUACGGGAGGCAGCAGUAAGGAAUAUUGGUCAAUGGACGGAAGUCUGAACCAGCCAUGCCGCGUGCAGGAAGACGGCCCUAUGGGUUGUAAACUGCUUUUGCAGGGGAAUAAACCUCAUUACGUGUAAUGAGCUGAAUGUACUCUGAGAAUAAGGAUCGGCUAACUCCGUGCCAGCAGCCGCGGUAAUACGGAGGAUCCGAGCGUUA